rnacentral:rRNA from 1 species
UACGUAGGGCGCAAGCGUUAUCCGGAAUUAUUGGGCGUAAAGAGCUCGUAGGCGGUUUGUCACGUCUGCUGUGCAAAUUCGAGGCUCAACCUCGGACUUGCAGUGGGUACGGGCAGGCUAGAGUAAUGUAGGGGAGACUGGAAUUCCUGGUGUAGCGGUGGAAUGCGCUGAUAUCAAGAGGAACACCGAUGGCGAAGGCAGGUCUCUGGGCAUUUACUGACGCUGAGGAGCGAAAGCGUGGGGAGCAAACAGG